rnacentral:rRNA from 1 species
GAUGAACGCUGGCGGCGUGCCUAAUACAUGCAAGUCGAGCGAACAGACGAGGAGCUUGCUCCUCUGACGUUAGCGGCGGACGGGUGAGUAACACGUGGAUAACCUACCUAUAAGACUGGGAUAACUUCGGGAAACCGGAGCUAAUACCGGAUAAUAUAUUGAACCGCAUGGUUCAAUAGUGAAAGACGGUUUUGCUGUCACUUAUAGAUGGAUCCGCGCCGCAUUAGCUAGUUGGUAAGGUAACGGCUUACCAAGGCAACGAUGCGUAGCCGACCUGAGAGGGUGAUCGGCCACACUUGAACUGAGACACGGUCCAGACUCCUACGGGAGGCAGCAGUAGGGAAUCUUCCGCAAUGGGCGAAAGCCUGACGGAGCAACGCCGCGUGAGUGAUGAAGGUCUUCGGAUCGUAAAACUCUGUUAUUAGGGAAGAACAAAUGUGUAAGUAACUACGCACGUCUUGACGGUACCUAAUCAGAAAGCCACGGCUAACUACGUG